GCAACACCUAUUUUCUACAUAAUUCCUUUUCGCUCUGAAACCAUAAAAAGUGGACGCUGCAAGUAACGUGGUCGCCCGGCCUACCCUUGUGUUUGUCAUUAAGUAAGCUUAGCUCCAAAUUCGAAGGCAACUACCCGAUCUAGUCAAACUCGAGUGGAGCCACACGACUCAACGAGCUAGAUAGUGAAGCUGGUACGGAGUGAUUUAUUUCUUCAUUAAUGGGAGCAUGGCGACUCACUGGAAAUGGGUUGAGUAUGAAGUGACCUAAGAAGGGACAGUGUCCAAGGGGAAAGACUAGAUAGAAGAAGACGGCGAGGAUGAGAUUGUUGGGGAUAGUCAACUGUUUGACCUGAAACCGAUUGAUUUUGAAGUGUCGGUAACCGCAGAUGGGUUGAAAUGAUUCGUAAUCUAUGUCAGGAACUGAGGAAAUGGCCUAUGAUGUUUUAUAGCACAGAGUGAGUUGUAAGGAUGCUGGCCAUGAUUCAAUGAACUACGACUGCUUGCCA
rnacentral:sRNA from 1 species